rnacentral:rRNA from 1 species
UUAAGGUUUUAACGGCUGCGGUAUCCUGACCGUGCAAAGGUAGCGUAAUCCAUUGCCUUUUAAUUGUAGGCUUGUAUGAAUGUAUUAACGAGGGAUAAGUUGUCUCGGGCCUUUGAUUAGAAAUUAAGCUUCAGGUGAAGAUGCCUGAAUUAAGCCAAAAGACAAGAAGACCCUAUUGAGCUUUAUUUGAGGCUCUGGUAUCUACUGACUGAAGUAUAGUGGGAAAAGGAGAUAAAAUUUGGUUGGGGAGACUAAGGAAUUAAAAAAUCUUCCUUGGAAGAAAGAAGUUGUUUCGUAAGAGAGAUCCUUUUUAGAUCUUAAGAAUAAGUUACCAUAGGGGUAACAGGCUUAUUUUUCCAGAGAGUUCAUAUUGACGGGAAAGAUUGGCACCUCGAUGUUGGCUUAGAAUAUCCUUUAAGUGCAGCAGCUUAAAAGGGUUGGUUUGUUCACCCAUUAAAAUUCUACGUGAUCUGAG